UGAUAAUCUUAGAAGCCAAAGUGUUGCUCCUCCUCAGUGGACAAUGAGAAACAAAGGUGACAGGAACCGCAUACUUCUAUGCAUUUUAAACAUGAGCAAGGAGAUAUUGGGGUGUCUUCCAAAAGUUGUUGGGAUAGACAUAGUGGAGAUGACUCUCUGGGCAAAGG